AGCAGCCGCGGUAAUUCCAGCUCCAAUAGCGUAUAUUAAAGUUGUUGCAGUUAAAAAGCUCGUAGUUGAAUUUCGGGGUUCUACCGUUGGUCGGGCUACCAAGUCUGUACUGGUGUGUAGAACUUCUACCUUCUGGGGAACCAUCAUGUUAUUAAUUUAGCGUGGUGGGAAACCAGGACCUUUACCUUGAAAAAAUUAGAGUGUUCAAAGCAGGCUUAUGUCUGAAUACAUUAGCAUGGAAUAAUAGAAUAGGACGGUGGUCCUGUUUUGUUGGUUUCUGAAUCACCGUAAUGAUUAAUAGGGAUAGUUGGGGGCAUUAGUAUUCAAUUGUCAGAGGUGAAAUUCUUGGAUUUAUUGAAGACUAACUUCUGCGAAAGCAUUUGCCAAGGAUGUUUUCAUUAAUCAAGAACGAAAGUUAGGGGAUCGAAGACGAUCAGAUACCGUCGUAGUCUUAACCAUAAACUAUGCCGACCAGGGAUCGGACGAUGUUAAAUUUUAUUGACUCGUUCGGCGCCUUACG
rnacentral:rRNA from 1 species